rnacentral:rRNA from 1 species
GAUGAACGCUGGCGGCGUGCCUAAUACAUGCAAGUCGAGCGAACAGACGAGGAGCUUGCUCCUCUGACGUUAGCGGCGGACGGGUGAGUAACACGUGGAUAACCUACCUAUAAGACUGGGAUAACUUCGGGAAACCGGAGCUAAUACCGGAUAAUAUAUUGAACCGCAUGGAUCAAUAGUGAAAGACGGUUUUGCUGUCACUUAUAGAUGGAUCCGCGCCGCAUUAGCUAGUUGGUAAGGUAACGGCUUACCAAGGCAACGAUGCGUAGCCGACCUGAGAGGGUGAUCGGCCACACUGGAACUGAGACACGGUCCAGACUCCUACGGGAGGCAGCAGUAGGGAAUCUUCCGCAAAGGGCGAAAGCCUGACGGAGCAACGCCGCGUGAGUGAUGAAGGUCUUCGGAUCGUAAAACUCUGUUAUUAGGGAAGAACAAAUGUGUAAGUAACUAUGCACGUCUUGACGGUACCUAAUCAGAAAGCCACGGCUAACUACGUG